CAAGGGAAGUGGUAGCCUGAGCUGGAGGUACAGUCAUCGGGGAAGAGAUGGGGUGGGUACAUUGGGUCCCCCUGUACAUUCAAGUUUUCACUGUUGGAUUAAGAAAAGGGCAAAUACUAUCAGACUUCAUAGGUAUUGACAUUGUGUUCUAGAGGACUGGCCUGACAGUUCCCAGGAUGACCUGGGAGAAGAGAUCAGAUGAUGGGUGUAGAGGGGUCCAGGCAUGAGGGAACCACAGUAACCACAGGCAAAAAGAUCAAGGAGUGAAUUGGAGAGUUGUUUAUUUUUGGCUGUGGGGCAGCAGGAGAAGGAUAAAAGAGGUAUUUAGACUUUCAGUUUUGAAAUAGUUGCAGUGUCUGACAUAAGUGGGACCACCUCUAAACUUAGGGGGAGAGGAAUGAGUCUUGAGAUCAAAUUGAUCAAGGUCAAAGUCAAGUCAGCUUGUUUUGGGAGGCUUUGGAUGUGAGGGACCAGAGUUUAUGAGAGUUGGUGGUGCAAACCAACAUCAUUAGCAUGUGACAGUGAGAAUGGUCCAGGAGAGGUAAGAAGAUGAAACCUCAGAGGACAAAGAAAGAGGAGAGCAGCAGGUUGCAGAGCUGGGGUGUGGGGAUGGGGAAGAGGAAGGAAGAGAACCUGGACAGGUGACAAAAAUGAAGUUGUCUGGAAAGGGGGAAGAUUAGACUGCCCAGGACCACUGAAGCCAGGACAGUGCCAGAAGGUCAAGACAAGGGACAAGAGAUCUUUCUCAGGCUACCCAAAAAUCAGACACAUACUAACCUCCUUUGCCCUCUGUUAGAUGAUAUCAUCAGUCAGAUUUUGCUUUGAUUUUGCACCAUAGGUAGUUUUUGAUCAGUUGGGUUCAGUUUCAUUUGUGAUGUCCAGUACAAGAUUAAAUGUGUAUUUUGCAUUUUAAAUAAACUGCAUUGUGUAUAAAUAAGGCAUGUGACAUGAUAUUACAUGUAUCUAGUACGAAGUGGCAAAUUAACACCCAGCAUCUCAUGUCAUUAGCUUUUUUCCCCCAGUGGCAAGAAAAGCUAGAUUCUACUCAUUAGUACAAAUCCCGUGUGCUGUACAGUUUUAUUACCUAUGGUCCUCAUGUUGCACGUUAGAUCUUUAGACUUGUUCAUCCUACAUAUCUGCUGUAUAUGACCUACAUCAUCUCCCUAUUUUUUCUCCUUAUUCCACCCCUGGAAGCUACCACCCC
rnacentral:lncRNA from 1 species